CAACGAACCGCGCAAUCCGCGUGGCGAAUCUUCCGGUGGUGCUCGCCCACGUCGGCUAUCCGCACCAGCAGAGCGAAAUCGAGGAGAGUGAGAGAGAAGAGGAUUUCCGCCGCCGUGGUUUCGCGACUACGACGCCGGAGCGGUCAGAAUUGUUGGCCCGGGUGCUUCUACGCAACCUCCGGUGUGUGCUCUCGGCCUCUGUUGGCGCGAUUGAAGCUCUGCGCGCCGGCGAUUGCUCAUCGAACUUCAACCGGGACCGCAUCACGUGGCCAGAGCCGUUCGCAUAAUAAUUAGUG
rnacentral:lncRNA from 7 species